GUCUAUGGCCAUACCACCCUGCAUGCAUCCCAUCUCGCCCCUUCCCAGAAGCUAAGCAGGGUUGAGCCUGGUUAGUGCUUGGAUGGGAGGAGUAGGAAAUCUAGUGUUUAGCUU
ensembl:rRNA 5S_rRNA 5S ribosomal RNA